UUAUGCGGCUGCCUCCCACCGGCUCUCCAACCUUAUCCAAGUAGCGCAUAAUCUUGGCUAGAAUUAGUUUUUGCAUUGAACCAUCGGUAUUUGCGAUUUUUCAACGUUAGCACGCUGCUCGAACAAAUCGUCGCUUCCUACGUGAUAUGGCUAUGUAAAUCGAUCAACGUUCAGGAUAAUUUGAUAUUUUAUUCGGAACUCAAACGUUGCUUGUGUAUCAUCAUCAAACGUUUCGCGAUAGCUAAUUGAUUUUAUCAAAGAGUAAGGUUUCAUCGAUAUUUCCAUGUUUAUUACUAAGUUAAUGGUAGAAAUCAGGAGGUGAUUCCGCAUUGGUCACUGGCUCGACUUGAGUGCGUGUGUAACCAAAUCAAGGCAUUAACGGGACCGCAGACAAGUAUUAAUCAUUAUUUGGAAUCUUUUCAACUUUUAUCAGAUUGAUUUAAUGUAAAUUAGUCGUAAUUCUUAAAAUUUAAGAUUUAGCCAUCAACUCUAAAAUUGUAUCUGCAGAUCAGAUUUAUUAAAUUAAUACGAUGCUUUUGUCACUUUUAUCGGAAUCUAUAAUUACCAAAGUUAAUAAUCAAGGACUAUUUCAUGACGAUUUAAUUAGUUUUUCAACGAUAAUUUUUUUAAUUUACUAUAAUUUCAUAACUCUUUUUUUUUUUAUAAAAUAAUGUAUGUCUAAUGUAGAAGAAAAUUUCGUAUUUUGAAGGAUAUCGCAAAUUGUAGGAAGUGUGGUUGUUUAUCGUGUUAAAUUUGUUACACUCGUCACACCGAUAUUGUGCACGAAAAUAUGCGCGUAGAAUAUAUUCGCUGCGUCAUUACGUAAGAUUACUAUGUCUUCCAAAUCAGCAAAUUUUCUGAUAAUUCCAAUAAACAGUUGUAUUCUUUUUAAAAUUAACCGAUGAACUUCAUUAUCGCAAAUAUUUUCAUUUCUUUAAUUAAAAUUACUACAUUUUCUUUUCCCUACUUUGGUAAGAAAACAGUCUUUACUGAUACGAUGAGUUCUAUGUUAGCAGAGUGUAUUUUAAUUAUUUACAAAUGGUCGGAUUUUUGUUUUGAUUUUUGCAUUACACGAAUUAUCAUUUUACAUUUUGACGCUAAAAUGUCUUUUAUUUAAGUACAUCUCUUUCCUCGCAUUACCAUAUUUUGACAGUUGUUAAUAUAUUUUUUACUAACGGUAGCUCAUUAUUUAUAAACGAUAAGUAUUUCAAACUAUAAAUAAUAGUAGGUAGAGUGCGAAUGUUCAUGCAAAUUCAUAUUUUUAAACUAAACAGAAGAUAAGCAAAGGGUUCGUUUCACUGAAUAUUACAGCUUAUAACAGGUACUAUACUUUGGAUAUUUUAUAUAGUUUUUCGCAUUAUGUACACGUCUAUUCUGCGCAUUUCUGCACUUUCAAAUACAUAAACAUCCGUGGUCUAAUAAUGAGGUUCACUAUUAUCGUGUCUGACUCAUGAAGGAUGCAUUUCACUUACUUUCAACAUUCAAUGAGUAUGGUCAAGCUUCCGUACACGAGUAUUCAGAAUAUUUUUCAUUCGUCUUGCCUUCUAAUUUUCUUUAAAAAAUAAUACCAAU